GAAUACUGUGAAUACAAUUGUUUAAUGUGGCAUGCCUGUCUGUUACCCAGGAUAGCAGCCAUUUUUUUCUAAGAUAUUUAGAUUUCUUUUGUAUGACACAUAAAUUGGCGUAGUAUGCAUUUAAAUUUUGCCACAUGCUUGUCAUAAAUGUUUGUGGGACAUUUAAAUGUCUUUACAUGUCACACUGGCUAUGCAUAGAUAUCAUGCAAU
rnacentral:misc_RNA from 1 species